rnacentral:snoRNA from 2 species
UCUCGGUGAUGAUCAAAAAUGAUGACGAGUCCGAUCUUUUCCAUUCUUUCAAAUCGUGACGACAAAUCGAGGCAUUUGUCUGAGAGAA